rnacentral:lncRNA from 1 species
CACUUGAAGAGGAUCAAUCCAUGUCAUCAUGUCCCCAAUUUCAUAGCACCAAGUAUUUUGUUUAUUCACAAAUGCCCUAUUAUGGACAUCUAGCAAACAAUGAUACAUCAGAAAAGGAGAUGUGCAUAAAUUUUCAUGGAAUAAGGGAUGCGCAUGAAAGAAUGUGCCACAGAAAAUGAGACACAUCAAUGAGGGUUGUGGAAAAUGCACUAGAAUCAACAAACAUGGGGACUAAUUCAACUCGGAUAUCAUGUCUUCAGAGAAGUUUCUCCUGCCCUCCUCUCCCUGUAGAAUUAAGUAUUCUUCCACUGUGCCACCCUCUAACUUGUGCUCAUAUCUUCCUCUAUUGUAGUUAUGUGUUCACAUCCCUGUUGUUUUUGUACCGGCUUCUCCCAAAGGGAGACAUUUAGUCUUAUUCUUCUUGGUAACUUUAGCACAGACCUGGCAGAUUGUUGACACUCAACAAAUGUUUAUUGACUCAAAUGCAUUCAGUUGAACAUUGACCUUUGAUCAACUCUGGGAAAAGUCUGCAAAGCUAGUUAGGACAUUCAGAAAUUCAUUUCAUUUCAAUCCUAACUAAAUAAAUUAUUGAAGUCUCAGAACUUCUCAGUACUUGAUUUAGACACAUAGAAACUUGGGUAAAUAACAC